UACAGAGGUCCCGAGCGUUGUUCGGAUUCACUGGGCGUAAAGGGUGCGUAGGUGGCGAGAUAAGUUUGAUGUGAAAUCUCCGGGCUUAACCUGGAAAAUGCAUUAAAAACUGUUUUGCUAGAGGGUUGGAGGGGGGACUGGAAUUCUCGGUGUAGCAGUGAAAUGCGUAGAUAUCGAGAGGAACACCAGUGGCGAAAGCGAGUCCCUGGACAACUCCUGACACUGAGGCACGAAAGCUAAGGGAGCAAACAGG
rnacentral:rRNA from 1 species